rnacentral:sRNA from 1 species
CCGCGACGCCUCUUCGGGCGUUUCCUCCCUAGACUUAGGCCGCCUCCUGUGAGGCGGCCUUCUUCUUGCACAUU